rfam:Pirellula sp. SH-Sr6A, complete genome.
UCAGGGGCAACUCUGAAUCUGAAGGAAGCAGCAGGCAAACUCUCGGUUCGAGGUACACGAACCGUAUACGAGGCGACGACCCGGUGGGCGAGAAGGCACGAAGAUUCAAAGCCCAAUGUCAUUCGGACCGAGUCGGCGUAUAUGCGGCGAAUAUACGAGAGGAAAGUUACGCGU